UACGGAGGGAGCUAGCGUUGUUAGGAAUUACUGGGCGUAAAGCGCACGUAGGCGGCUUUGUAAGUUAGAGGUGAAAGCCCGGGGCUCAACCCCGGAAUUGCCUUUAAGACUGCAUCGCUUGAAUCCGGGAGAGGUGAGUGGAAUUCCGAGUGUAGAGGUGAAAUUCGUAGAUAUUCGGAAGAACACCAGUGGCGAAGGCGGCUUGCCAGAAUGCGCUCGACGGUGAGGGAUGAAAGCUGGGGGAGCAAACCGG
rnacentral:rRNA from 1 species